rnacentral:rRNA from 1 species
CAUCGCUCUUUGUAAUAAAAAAAUAAAGAGUCGAACCUGCCCAGUGAAAUUUUUUUAACGGCCGCGGUACUCUGACCGUGCAAAGGUAGCAUAAUCAUUUGCCUUAUAAUUGAAGGCUAGCAUGAAUGGUCUGACGAGAACAGCACUGUCUCCAUUUUAUUUUUUAGAAUUUGACUUUUAGGUGAAGAGGCCUAAAUUAUAUUGAAGGACAAGAAGACCCUGUCGAGCUUUAAAAAUAAAUAGAAACAAUUAUACAGAGUAAAUUUUAAACUAUUAUUUUUUUUGGUUGGGGCGACCAAGGAACAACAAAAGCUUCCUCUUAUUUCCCUUAACUCCUAGGUUCUGAUCCAGUAAAACUGAUCAAAAAAAUUAGUUACCGCAGGGAUAACAGCAUAAUCUCCUUUAAGAGACCAUAUCGAAAAGGGGGGUUGUGACCUCGAUGUUGGACUAGAAUAUCCGGAAGACGCAGAAGUCUUCGAAGGUUGGUCUGUUCGACCAUUAAAAUUCUAC